GACGAACGCUGGCGGCGUGCUUAACACAUGUAAGUCGAACGGAAAGGCCCUGCUUUUGUGGGGUGCUCGAGUGGCGAACGGGUGAGUAACACGUGAGUAACCUGCCCUUGACUUUGGGAUAACUUCAGGAAACUGGGGCUAAUACCGGAUAGGAGCUCCUGCUGCAUGGUGGGGGUUGGAAAGUUUCGGCGGUUGGGGAUGGACUCGCGGCUUAUCAGCUUGUUGGUGGGGUAGUGGCUUACCAAGGCUUUGACGGGUAGCCGGCCUGAGAGGGUGACCGGCGGACGGGGGAGGGAGAGCGGCCCGCGGCGGACGGGGGAGGGGGUGGGCGGAAGUAGUGAGCGAGGGGCGGGGGCCUGCGGCGGAACCGAGGCGGGGGGGGUGACGGCGGUCGUGUGGUGCGCCGCUUAGGCAGGUGACGAGGCGUGGGGGGCGGUGAGGGGAAAAGAAGCACCGGACAACUACGCGCCAGCAGCCGCGGUAAUAAUGGGAAGAGCACGUUUCUACCC
rnacentral:rRNA from 1 species